GAAAAUUUAGUUAAAUGAAUAACUUUAGCUUGUCAUGCUAAGAUCACUUCCAAAGUAAUUUUCU
rnacentral:tRNA from 1 species